AUGUAGACAGUUUACAUUAAUAAAAGUAAUUGUACCGGACAUGGAAAAAAGCAAACAUAACAUUUUAAAGUGCAUGGUAGUUUGUGGCAGACAGCCUAUAUUUCACUUCAUUCUGUCACACAAACAAAAAAUCUGUAGGUGAGGGAAGAUAAAUGACAAGUAUGAAUGUAAACCAAAAUGACUGACAACUGUUCAGUAAUUGCACUACUAAAGUAUCCUAUAUAUCAAACGUAAUGACCUUUAUCCCUAAAAUAUACUUACUGACCUGGACACUUAACAACAGAAAUACAAUUUCCUGUAACAAGUAGCAAAUUACAUCCUGUGCCCUAAGACAGAGAACAUUUAUGUUGCAGACAGGUUACAUUUCAGAAAGAUGAAGUUUGUCAGCGUUCUUGCACUGAGCCUGGCACGAUGAGGGCGCAUGAUGAGGCCUCCAUGACUAAACACUCUCUCCACUGGGGCACUGGUGGCAGCCUUGGAAAGUCUUUUGCAUGGAUUCUCCAAAAAUCCAAGCAAUCAACUUCAUUUUCAUCAGAAGAUACUUGAAUGUAGCGAAUAAUCUCUGCUCUGACCUGGCUUUGUCUCCUUUCUUCUUGCUGAUCUUGUAGCGGUUGACAGAGAACAGUCUGGAGGUUUUGGCAGGUGGUGGUUGUUCUUCUUCUCCACUACUGCCCUCCGUAACGGUGACUUUCCGUGCCUCAGCCAAAACAAGGAGGAGCUACAGAGUGAGUCAUUACCUGGAGUACAUGGAGGGUCUGGAGCACAGUUACAGAACAAUGGUACUGACAGACAUGAAAAAUAUCUCUUAGAGAAUCAGCUAGCAGUGCUGACACACCACAGCCAUCACUCCCCAGGCUGCACUGGGACUGGGACUGGUAAUAACAAGGUAAAGGCUUCUCGUGACAGGAUUAACCAGUGUGUGUACCUGGGGAGUCUCAUACUACCUGUUGUUUGGAUUGAGGAAAGGUUUGAUACUGUGUAUGCUCUCUGUAAAUGUUGUUUAUACCUCUAAGAUCUGUCAGUAUUGUUCUACAUAUUUAAAGAUGUACAGUGGUAGAGAUGUAUGAAAUAUUAAAUAGCAGAUAUGAAUAAUGUUAUGAAAUAUACUGAACAAAAAUAUUAACACAGCAUACAAUAAUUUCAAAGAUUUACAUUUCAUGUAAGGUAAUCCGGCAAUUGAAAUAAAUAAAUUAGGCCCUAAUCUAUGGAUUUCACGACUGAGAAUGACUGUUGGUCACAGAUACCUUUUAAAAAAGUUAGGGGUGUGGAUCAGAAAACCAGUCAGUAUCUGGUGUGACAAUCAUUUGCCUCAUGCAGCGUGACACAUCUUCUUCGCAUAAAGUUGAUCAGAU
rnacentral:lncRNA from 1 species